GCCCAAAUUUCGUAAGGAAGUUAUUUGCAAGGUUUAAAGAGGUAAUUUUCACAUCUUCAUUAGCCUUAAGUGCUUGAGCAAUAGCAAAAGCCCCAUCAUCUCUUAUUUCAUUGAAUCCUAAGUCGAGCUCAUUUAGAACUUCAUUCACCACUUUCAAGCUACGAGCCAAGCAUCUUGCACCUUCAUCUCUAAGUCCAUUUCCUCGCAAGUCUAGAAU
rnacentral:misc_RNA from 1 species